rnacentral:rRNA from 1 species
UACGUAGGGUGCAAGCGUUAAUCGGAAUUACUGGGCGUAAAGCGUGCGCAGGCGGUUUUGUAAGUCUGUCGUGAAAUCCCCGGGCUUAACCUGGGAACUGCAUUGGUGACUGGCGGGCUAGAGUAUGGCAGAGGGGGGUAGAAUUCCACGUGUAGCAGUGAAAUGCGUAGAGAUGUGGAGGAAUACCGAUGGCGAAGGCAAUCCCCUGGGCCUGCACUGACGCUCAUGCACGAAAGCGUGGGGAGCAAACAGG